rnacentral:misc_RNA from 1 species
AUGAACCUCGACGUUCCAUCCGGUCGUCGGAAAACUAUCAAAUUUAGAACAAGAAAUUUUUCUAUUGAGGAUGAUAAAUAUUGGAUACAACCGUCACGAUGCACUUCCGUAGAUAUGUCGUCAAGGGAAAUUAUUAAUAAGCUGAACGAAAUGGAACAAGAAGAGAAGCUGUUCAUAACAUAUGAUGUCAUUGAACGUAAUCCAAAGUUUGCAACGGUCGGUGGAUCAAUCUUUGAAUUCAUCAACAACACGAUGCAACCUAUUCUUAAAUGUCAUCUAUCGCAAGUUAAAGACACAAACAUGUUGCACUUAAUCGCGUCUUCCUUCUUCAAAAGCUCAGGAGCGAUCUUCACGAGAUUUGGGCUAAAUGCGAGUAUCCGAUUUUUGCUGGGUUACUAGUGGUGUACGUCAGUGAAAAAAUGAGGAAAUUGUUUUCGGGACAACACGAGCCGGUCAUUGCCGAAGCAUUUGAAAAGAUUCAAAAUUCGUUUGACGAUGAAUGCACUGCACUUCUAGAUCAAUGUUUUCAUACAAGUGAACGAGACACUAGAGCUGUAUUGGAUACAAAUUAUCAUUUAUUUAUCCAUACAGAUGGAUGCCCUUCAGUUGAAGAGGAUAUGGAAGUGAUGGCAUUAGCGUCGGCGGCGAAGGCAAAAAACUUCCUAUCUCAUCCAGCAUGCCAACGAGAAAUUGACUUUCGAUGGCAGCCUGGUUUCAAAUUAGGACAAAUGGCAUUCUUCUUAUUUUUCUUUUUUCCGCCGUUGUUUUUCUUACGCGGAAAGCAGAGAAUCAAGAAACGAGAAAUCAAAACAAUGAUGUUGAAAAUGGAUCAUUCUGGGAAUAUGACUUCUAUUACUUAUAGUAAUUUUCUUAUUCGAGUCUACAAUUUCUAUACAUCUCCAAAUGCAAAAUAUGUUAUUCACACUCUUUUUCGGUUAAUAUACGUGAUAUUCUAUGCAUACGUUUUGAUGACAAUGACACGAAAAACAAUGGUUAUGAAUGAAUUAGACGAGUUUUUGGAUGAAAUGGCUAUUAUAGUUUGGCAGUGUGCAUAUCUAACUGAAAUGGCUGUAUUGGUUUAUCAAAGAGGUUUCUAUAAUUGGGCUGAACGAAAUACAGCUGAUCUUUACCGUAACUAUUUGGUUGCAAUGACAAUGAUAGCCUGGUCUGUAGCUGUAAUUGCUCCUCCAACAUGGCCUAUUCGAGCUUUUGCAAUCAUUUCUGCCGACUUAUUCUUUUAUUUUUCUUUCGUUUUUGCAACUCUCCGACUCAUGAAAAUUGCAAAUGUCGAUGCAUUUUUUGGUUCAAUUGUCCUUAUGAUCAAGAAAAUGAUUCCAAUAAUGGUCAAAUUUAUGUUUGUGUUUAUGGUAUUUUGGUUCACCUAUGCAGUUUGUCAUAUCAGUUUGGCGGGGCAUUUGAAGAGUACUCCAAAUAUAACCGAUGUCGUUUGGCCUUGGCUGAUUUUCAGUAGUGGUGCAUUUGAAAUUUUUGGAGAAGCUGAUGAGGAGGAUAAACUAGGGACUGUCAGUAAAUGCUCGUCAGCACCUCUGAACUGGGACGUCAUUACUGAUUCUUCGGUACAAUGCUGGUUCAAAACAAGUAUGAUACCUGUAUUCUUAUUCUGUUACAUGUUGGUCUCAAGUGUACUCCUUGUGAAUUUGGUUACCGCACUCUUAUCGAAAAAGUAUGAAGAUAUUGACAAAGUUUCACAUAUUUACUGGAAAUAUAAACUGUAUAGUCGGUUGAUUGAGUAUGAAGAAAAAUUAUGGAUUCCUGCACCACUCUCGUUGCUCUUUUACAUUCUCAAAACUUUUUGCUUUUUUCUAUCAAAAAUUCCAAUCAUUGGAGUUAUACCCAAUUACUUUAUGAAAAUUUUACACAUUUUCGAAGGGAAAGUAUAUGCAAAAGAAAGGAGGAAAAAUCGAAAAUAUGAAGCAGUAAUGAAUGGAUUAAUAUCUAACCCGAAUCGAUGGGAUGGUCCUACAGAAGAUGAGAAAAAGUCAGUGGAAUUAGUCAGAGAGCAAAUGAGCAUUUUGGAAGCUGACCGUAAAAGGAAACGCCUCGAGACGGACCUCAUUCGAACUAGAUUUGAGGAGAUUAUGUCUGAAAUUGAAAACACGAACCGGUUCAGAAGAAUACGAUCUCAAACAACGUUCUAG